GACGAACGCUGGCGGCGUGCUUAACACAUGCAAGUCGAACGGAAAGGCCCUGCUUUUGUGGGGUGCUCGCGUGGCGAACGGGUGAGUAACACGUGAGUAACCUGCCCUUGACUUUGGGAUAACUUCAGGAAACUGGGGCUAAUACCGGCUAGGAGCUCCUGCUGCAUGGUGGGGGUUGGAAAGUUUCGGCGGUUGGGGAUGGACUCGCGGCUUAUCAGCUUGUUGGUGGGGUAGUGGCUUACCAAGGCUUUGACGGGUAGCCGGCCUGAGAGGGUGACCGGCCACAUUGGGACUGAGAGACGGCCCAGACGCCUACGGGAGGCAGCAGUGGGGAAUAUUGCACAAUGGGCGGAAGCCUGAUGCAGCAACGCCGCGUGCGGGAUGACGGCCUUCGGGUUGUAAACCGCUGUCGCCUGUGACGAAGCGUGAGUGACGGUAAUGGGUAAAGAAGCACCGGCUAACUACGUG
rnacentral:rRNA from 1 species